rnacentral:rRNA from 1 species
CGCUGGCGGCGUGCUUAACACAUGCAAGUCGAACGGGGCAAGUUGAAAGCUUGCUUUUGAGAGCCUAGUGGCAAACGGGUGAGUAACGCGUAGGAAACCUACCUCCGGGAUGGGGACAACCGUCCGAAAGGACAGCUAAUACCGAAUGAAGUACGGCUGACACAUGUUAGCUGUAUGAAAGAUGGCCUCUAUCUAUAAGCUAUCGCCUGGAGAUGGUCCUGCGUCUGAUUAGCCAGUUGGCGGGGUAACGGCCCACCAAAGCGACGAUCAGUAGCCGGUCUGAGAGGAUGAACGGCCACAAUGGAACUGAGACACGGUCCAUACUCCUACGGGAGGCAGCAGUGGGGAAUCUUCCGCAAUGGGCGCAAGCCUGACGGAGCAACGCCGCGUGAUUGAAGAAGGCCUUCGGGUCGUAAAGAUCUGUUGAAGGGGACGAACGUGCUUUUCAUGAAUAAUGGAGAGUAAUGACGGUACCUUUCGAGGAAGCCACGGCUAACUACGUG